UACGGAGGGUGCGAGCGUUAAUCGGAAUUACUGGGCGUAAAGCGUGCGUAGGCGGAUUGUUAAGCGAGAUGUGAAAUCCCGGGGCUCAACCUCGGAACUGCAUUUCGAACUGGCAGACUAGAGUCUUGGAGAGGGGAGUGGAAUUCCAGGUGUAGCGGUGAAAUGCGUAGAGAUCUGGAGGAACAUCAAUGGCGAAGGCGGCUCACUGGCUCGAUACUGACGCUGAUGGACGAAAGCGUGGGUAGCGAACAGG
rnacentral:rRNA from 1 species